rnacentral:rRNA from 1 species
UACGGAGGGUGCAAGCGUUGUCCGGAUUUAUUGGGUUUAAAGGGUGCGUAGGCGGCCUUUUAAGUCAGUGGUGAAAGCCCGCGGCUCAACCGCGGAACUGCCAUUGAUACUGGAAGGCUUGAGUACAGACGAGGUAGGCGGAAUUGAAGAUGUAGCGGUGAAAUGCUUAGAUAUCUUCAAGAACACCGAUUGCGUAGGCAGCUUACUAGGCUGUAACUGACGCUGAGGCACGAAAGCGUGGGGAGCGAACAGG